AUAGUGGGAUUAAGAAAGGAAAAAAGGGGAAAGAGGAAUAUUUCUCUGUGCAUUCCAGAACAACAACUAUACUAUCCUUUUGUCCUUCUUUCUUUCUUCAUCAAUUAAAAGGCAACCCAGGGGGGUUACGAAAAAGAUUGUAAUCGAAGGAGGAUACCUUCGUCCUUACGUAGUGUACGAGUUAAAAAGCUUUGUGGCAUCCUAAAGGAAUUUCAAGAAUUUGAUUUAUAAAUUCCUAGUUGAAAAACUAAAUCUCAGAAGCUAGUGAAUUGUCUAUUGGAUAACGGAGGUUGGUGGUUCGCGGGCUAAGUCAUUUGGACUGAAAUACUAUCGUAGCUAGUUAAGCAAUAAGGCUUCGACCCUCCCAAUACCAGACGUCUACGUUAGGCUCUAUUGCCGUUUUCAACUGAUAUUUUAAUGAUCUCCAACUCUCUCUGGAGCCGGUCUAUACCUAGUAUUUUUUGAUUAUAUGUACAGGUCUCUGGUUUGGCAUAACGGGCCUAAUGCCAACUAGUCACUUGUAGUAUAGUGUGUUAAUUGACUAGAGGCUUCAUGAACACCGUGUAGUAUUGCAUAGUUUUGUUAAUGUAACUCCCUCGUGUAUAUAUGUAAUGCUUAUUGAAUACCCUAUCUGUUAUUAUCUUAUGAACUCGCGUACGUCGUAAAAUGCUUGUAGAGUAAGUGUA